GAUGAACGCUGGCGGCGUGCCUAAUACAUGCAAGUCCAGCGAACAGACGAGGAGCUUGCUCCUCUGACGUUAGCGGCGGACGGGUGAGUAACACGUGGAUAACCUGCCUAUAAGACUGGGAUAACUUCGGGAAACCGGAGCUAAUACCGGAUAAUAUAUUGAACCGCAUGGUUCAAUAGUGAAAGACGGUUUUGCUGUCACUUAUAGAUGGAUCCGCGCCGCAUUAGCUAGUUGGUAAGGUAACGGCUUACCAAGGCGACGAUGCGUAGCCGACCUGAGAGGGUGAUCGGCCACACUGGAACUGAGACACGGUCCAGACUCCUACGGGAGGCAGCAGUAGGGAAUCUUCCGCAAUGGGCGAAAGCCUGACGGAGCAACGCCGCGUGAGUGAUGAAGGUCUUCGGAUCGUAAAACUCUGUUAUUAGGGAAGAACAAAUGUGUAAGUAACUAUGCACGUCUUGACGGUACCUAAUCAGAAAGCCACGGCUAACUACGUG
rnacentral:rRNA from 1 species